rnacentral:lncRNA from 1 species
UUUCCUCCCCCGUGCUGAGGUCUCAAGCCCUGUUUCCCAAAGCACACACUUGCUGAGGCCAUGGAUGCAGCCAGCCAGGUCCUUGGUCAUAGCUCCGCUCUCCACAGUCUGCACGCACACCUUCUCCAGAGUCUGUGCAAACCUGCAGGAGAUGCGACAGAGUGAGGCCCUGGCAUGCUGGGCAGACCUGUGUGGGCUAUAUCAGUUCAAAUCCUCCCCAUGAGCUCACCUGAUGAGGUCCUGGUUCCCAUCCAGCUUCCCUCGAUGCUCCAGACCCCGUGUCCAGGCAAAGAUGCUGGCAAUAGGGUUGGUACUGGUGGGCCGGCCCUGGGGACAGGUCACGGGAUCAGCCGAGCACCAGAUACAGCUGUGUACCUCCAGACCUGCAGAGCAGGCUCAUCCUCCCAGCCCUCAGGGCCAAUGGGAUUUGGACCUUGAAGUGCACACAUUUACCUUCUGGUGUUCUCGGUAGUGGCGGGUGACUGUCCCGUGAGCAGCCUCAGCUUCAAUGGUCUUCCCGUCAG